UGACAAGACAUCCUGAAGAAAAGAAUAUUGCAAAGACCAUCAAGACCACUUUAUAAAGGUCAUUUAGGCACCUGAAAUGGAUUUAAUUUAAAUAACCAUGGGCAUCUACAUUUGAGGAAGACUCCCUUCACAGACUUUGAAAAUUAACAGAGAAAUUCUGCAGCUCCUCCCUUGUUUUUAUGGUUUCUCAGGCUGGGGAAAGACACGCCUUUAAAUUCUAUGAUCACUUUUAAAGACAGACUGAGAAAAGUUAGAAUUCAGUCAGAGUCAGUGCAAGGAAGAGAAUACUAAAUGCAAAAUUGUGGAGGAGAAAGCAAACUCUAUUAUUUCAUGAAGGCUGAAUUUGUGGAGAUGAACUGGGGCUUCUUGGUGCUCAUCACAAACAAAAAUAAGGAACAGAGAGGUGCAGAGAAGUGAGGAAGUUCAGCGCUGUCAGGAGAAAACUGAUUAUUGUCUCUCUGUCAAGAACCCCAAGGAUUCUAAAAAUUUCAGUGGUAAAGACAUUACUGGACAUAUUUGACAAGAAUCAAUGGAUGUGCCCACUCAAGUAAUCUCAGAAAACGGGAAGUAAUGUUGAUUACAGGAUGAGAUGGAAGGAAAUAAGAGGAAAAGAGUUGGUUGUUAUAUCUAGGAAGGUUGUGGCUCAGUCACAGAUGGAACUCAACUUCUGCACACAAAUCCAGGAUUCCCUUUCACCUUGUCUUGAAAAAAAUGUCAUUAUGGGGACCUGCAUGAUGCAGAUCUCAACCUAUAUGCUGAAUAUGCACCAGAAGGGUCUGAGCCUCCUCUCUGGAUAUGUCCUCAGCACUAAGUGUAGAGAACACUGAAUAAGCUUGGAUUACUAGCAAGAAUCAUAGGAUCACAGAAUUGAUGUGAUGGAAGUUGGAAAAGACCUCUCAGAUCAACAACCAGCACUGAACUGAGUCCCUCAGUGCCACAUCCUCACCUCUGUUAAAUUCCUCUGGGCCUGGUGACCCCACAGCUUCUCUGGGCAGCCUGUUACAAGGCCUGACCACCCUUCCAAUGAAGAAGUUUUUCCUAAUAUCCAAUCCUAACCUCUCCUGGCACAAUUUGAAGCCAUGUGUUGUUGUCCUGUUGCUGGUUACUUGGGAGAAGAAGCCGACCCCCUCAUGGCUGGAAAAGAAGGAACAAAUGUCUCCAUUCAUGGAGCCAUGUGCUCCCACUGCCUGGGAACGAGGAUAUCUUGGAUGGCACACCAGACUGCACUGCUCUGUGCCAUCACUGGCUGACACUCCUCUGUGCUAUUUGGGUGACAACUUGCAAGGUGGGGGUCUCCAAAUGCUCAGGGAAGUUGGAAGUGCAGGCGCAAGGGAGGAUUUUAUUGCUGAAACAUGGACGUCUGUUGCCAAUUUUGCUGCAGCAUAUUUGAGACAUAUGCACGGUACUAACAGGUAUUACACAGCACUUCAGGGAGACUCCCCUUCUGGAGUGUCAGAUGGAGGCAAGGAAGUUUUCCUUUUCCUAGGAAGAAAUAGACAUGCUCACACUGGAGGAGGUGAUAUUUACACUAAGAGAACUGCAUCCUUUCAGGAGGGACUGAAUUUCCAGCUGGAAAAGGAAAGCAGGUGGGAUAAUGAGAGUGGAUCUUCCCUGCAUAGGCUUCAGGGUGAGCUCCUUAAAGGUGGCCUGGUUAGAAAGGGAAAAUUACUGAGCAGAAGAAAAUUUCUGCUAGAAAAUACUUGCAGAGAUAUUCCCAGCCAGCCUGGCAGCUGUGAGCCUGGGAACUAAACUUUCAUACUACAACAUC